rnacentral:misc_RNA from 1 species
GAUGAAGAACGCAGCGAAAUGCGAUAAGUAAUGUGAAUUGCAGAAUUCAGUGAAUCAUCGAAUCUUUGAACGCACAUUGCGCCCCCUGGUAUUCCGGGGGGCAUGCCUGUCCGAGCGUCAUUGCUGCCCUCAAGCACGGCUUGUGUGUUGGGCCUCCGUCCUCCUCCCGGGGGACGGGCCCGAAAGGCAGCGGCGGCACCGCGUCCGGUCCUCGAGCGUAUGGGGCUUCGUCACCCGCUCUUGUAGGCCCGGCCGGCGCUUGCCGACACAUCAAUCUUUUUUCCAGGUUGACCUCGGAUCAGGUAGGGAUACCCGCUGAACUUAAGCAUAUCAGUAAGCGGAGGA